ensembl:snRNA U6 U6 spliceosomal RNA
GUGCUUGCUUCAACAGCACUUAUACCAAAAUUGGAACAAUACAGAGAAGAUUAGCAUGGCACCUACACAAGAAUGACAUGCAAAUUUGUGAAACAUUCUAUAUUUUU